GAACGCUGGCGGCGUGGAUUAGGCAUGCAAGUCGAACGCGAACGAUUUUCUUCGGAAGAUUUAGUAGAGUGGCGGACGGGUGAGUAACGCGUAGGUAAUCUACCUUUAAGUGGGGGAUAGCUCCCGGAAACGGGAAUUAAUACCGCAUGUGGAGCUUCGGUUCUAAAGGUGGCCUCUAUUUAUAAGCUAUCGCUUAAAGAUGAGCCUGCGUCCUAUUAGUUAGUUGGUGUGGUAAGAGCACACCAAGGCGAUGAUAGGUAGGCGGCCUUAACGGGUGGUCGCCCACACUGGGAUUGAGAUACGGCCCAGACUCCUACGGGAGGCAGCAGUCGAGAAUAGUCUACAAUGGACGAAAGUCUGAUAGUGCGACGCCGCGUGGAUGAAGAAGCAUUUCGGUGUGUAAAGUCCUUUUCUGUGCGAGCAGUGUUUUCCAGGUCAAUAUCUUGGAGAAAGCGAUAUUAACACAGGAAUAAGCUCCGGCUAACUCCGUGCCAGCAGCCGCGGUAACACGGGGGGAGCAAGCGUUGUCCGGAAUUACUAGGCGUAAAGGGUAAGUAGGCGGAGUGGUAAGUCAGAUGUUAAAGGCACCGGCUCAACCGGUGUAUGGCAUUUGAUACUGUCAUUCUAGAGUAAGGUGGGGGAAGACGGAAUUCCUGGUGUAGCGGUGGAAUGCGCAGAUAUCAGGAGGAACACCAGAGGCGCAGGCGGUCUUCUAUACCAUUACUGACGCUCAAUUACGAAGGUGUGGGUAUCAAACAGGAUUAGAUACCCUGGUAGUCCACACAGUAAACGAUAUACACUAGGUGUUGGGGGAGAUGAUCUUUCAGUGCCGCAGCUAACGCGUUAAGUGUAUCGCCUGGGGAGUACGAUCGCAAGGUUAAAACUCAAAGGAAUUGACGGGGCCCCGCACAAGCGGUGGAGCAUGUUGUUUAAUUCGAUGCAACGCGAAGAACCUUACCUGGGUUUGACAUCCCACAAAGUUUCCAGAGAUGGAGAUGUGCCCUUUUCGGGGGAAUGUGGUGACAGGUGCUGCAUGGCUGUCGUCAGCUCGUGUCGUGAGAUGUUGGGUUAAGUCCCGCAACGAGCGCAACCCCUAUUUCUAGUUGCCAGCACGUCAUGGUGGGGACUCUAGAGAGACUGCCAGUGUAAUAAACUGGAGGAAGGUGGGGAUGAUGUCAAGUCAUCAUGGUCCUUAUAUCCAGGGCUACAAACGUGC
rnacentral:rRNA from 1 species